GAGGAAAGUCCGGGCUCCAUAGGGCAGGGUGCCAGGUAACGCCUGGGGGGGAAACCCACGACCAGUGCAACAGAGAGCAAACCGCCGAUGGCCCACGCAAGUGGGAUCAGGUAAGGGUGAAAGGGUGCGGUAAGAGCGCACCGCGCGGCUGGUAACAGUCCGUGGCACGGUAAACUCCACCCGGAGCAAGGCCAAAUAGGGGUUCACAUGGUACGGCCCGUACUGAACCCGGGUAGGCUGCUUGAGCCAGUGAGUGAUUGCUGGCCUAGAUGAAUGACUGUCCACGACAGAACCCGGCUUA
rnacentral:RNase_P_RNA from 1 species